rnacentral:rRNA from 1 species
ACGGAGGGUGCAAGCGUUAUCCGGAUUCACUGGGUUUAAAGGGUGCGUAGGUGGGCAGGUAAGUCAGUGGUGAAAUCUCCGGGCUUAACUCGGAAACUGCCGUUGAUACUAUCUGUCUUGAAUAUCGUGGAGGUUAGCGGAAUAUGUCAUGUAGCGGUGAAAUGCUUAGAUAUGACAUAGAACACCCAUUGCGAAGGCAGCUAACUACACGAUCAUUGACACUGAGGCACGAAAGCGUGGGGAGCAAACAGGA